rnacentral:rRNA from 1 species
AAGCUCCCUAAAGGGUCGUUGGAGACUACAACGUUGAUAGGUUGGGUGUGGAAGUGCUGCGAGGCAUUGAGCUAACCAAUACUAAUUACCCGUGAGGCUUAACCAUACAACACCCAAGUAGUU